rnacentral:rRNA from 1 species
CAUGCCCAGGGGACGUGGAUAACCUCGGGAAACUGAGGAUAAACCGCGAUAAGUCACUACUUCUGGAAUGGGUAAUGACUUAAAUCUAUAUGGCCCCUGGAUUGGACUGCGGCCGAUCAGGCUGUUGGUGAGGUAAUGGCCCCACCAAACCUGUAACCGGUACGGGCUCUGAGAGGAGGAGCCCGGAGAUGGGCACUGAGACAAGGGCCCAGGCCCUAUGGGGCGCAGCAGGCGCGAAACCUCUGCAAUAGGCGAAAGCCUGACAGGGUUACUCUGAGUGAUUUCCGUUAAGGAGAUCUUUUGGCACCUCUAAAAAUGGUGCAGAAUAAGGGGUGGGCAAGUCUGGUGUCAGCCGCCGCGGUAAUACCAGCACCCCGAGUGGUCGGGACGUUUAUUGGGCCUAAAGCAUCCGUAGCCGGUUCUGCAAGUCUUCCGUUAAAUCCACCUGCUUAACAGAUGGGCCGCGGAAGAUACUAUAGAGCUAGGAGGCGGGAGAGGCAAGCGGUACUCGAUGGGUAGGGGUAAAAUCCGUUGAUCCAUUGAAGACCACCAGUGGCGAAGGCGGCUUGCCAGAACGCGCUCGACGGUGAGGGAUGAAAGCUGGGGGAGCAAACCGGAUUAGAUACCCGGGUAGUCCCAGCUGUAAACGAUGCAGACUCGGUGAUGAAUUGGCUUUAUGCCUAUUCAGUGCCGCAGGGAAGCCGUUAAGUUUGCCGCCUGGGGAGUACGGUCGCAAGACUGAAACUUAAAGGAAUUGGCGGGGGAGCACCACAAGGGGUGAAG